rnacentral:misc_RNA from 1 species
UUUCCGUAGGUGAACCUGCGGAAGGAUCAUUAAAGAGAAUAUGCCCUUCGGGGUAGAUCUCCCACCCUUCGUUUAUAUUACCUUUGUUGCUUUGGCAGGCCCGUCUUCGGACCACCGGCUUCGGCUGGUCAGUGCUUGCCAGAGGACCCAAAACUCCUAUUAUUAAUGUCGUCUGAGUACUAUAUAAUAGUUAAAACUUUCAACAACGGAUCUCUUGGUUCUG